CCGUGUAGCGGUGUGAAUCUGUCAGAUGAGCGUAUUAAUGCGGCACCAAAAUGAAACUGUGAAUGAAUAAAUAAUAUCGAAGACACUGAACGGAUCACAGUACAUCUGUAUAGGUCCCGUUGUUCGUCGUCUCCCGGAAGAAGUUCUACGUCCUCUCCAUGUUCCCGUACCCAUCGGGUCGGCUGCAUAUGGGCCACGUGAGGGUUUACACCAUUAGCGACACCAUCGGCCACUUCCAGAGGAUGAGGGGCCAUCGGCCUCUUCUUGAUGCUUUGGCAGAUCUCCCCGAAUGGUAUGGAGUCAAAAGCAUGCAGGCCAACUGGA